GAGGGGAAAGUUCUAUUGGCCUGUAUUGUUACCUCACCGACGCCGUCCGCCAUUUUGAUUUUGGUAGUCAAGGACGCGUCGCCAACGGUUCAUUCAUUCAGCAUCAGUCAAAAACAUGGCUAACACCGAUCACAAUUACGCAAAGGACCCAAAUGCCCCAAAUACACCAAAAUAUAUAGGCACACAAUGUGCUGCUGUAGGGUGUUACAAGUCCACAGGAAGGAACAAGGAGGUGGCAUUUCAUUCAUUUCCCAAAGAAAAAAAAAGGUGUGCAGAAUGGAUUAAUAACAUCAGGCGGGAGGACCUAUGUGGUUUACAGACCGAUGAAAUGAAGCAUAGGAAAGUAUGCAGUGACCAUUUCGCCAUUUCACAAUUUGUGAACCCAUUGGACAGGAUGCUGCAGUCAUUCACCGUCUAGCCAUGCCCCCUGUUCACCAAAGGCCAUUCCAGUCCACUAACAAGAGGCCAUCCCCCUCAACCUUUAAGAACUUUGCCAUGCACUCAACAAUUUGUAUAUUGCUGCACUCUGUAUUGUGCAUGUAUUUGUUCUUUCCAGGAUGCUGCAGUCAUUCACUGUCUAGCCAUGCCCCCUGUUCACCAAAGGCCAUUCUAUGUUUGAAAAGUUCUAGACUUUUUCCAUGGGAUGUCUUCGUAUUUGCGGAGUCACCUUAUCCUGGUGUCAUGUUUUCUGUUGAUUGCCAUUACCAUCCUACAUGUGUCUUCAAACCAAAUCAUAUCUCAAAUGUAUUUAUACAUACUAUAUCUAGUUGACUCAAAGUGCUUUGGUGCCCUUGUCCUUGUGUUUGUCCUCACAUUUGCCUGGAGUUCACAUAAUAUUGUAAAUCCUCCUGGAUUUCACUUGUGCUUUAGCAUCUUUAUUACCUCCUUCGAUUUACCCCCCCCCCCCCCCAAUUCAGUAAAGACA